rnacentral:rRNA from 1 species
UACAGAGGGGGCGAGCGUUGUUCGGAAUUACUGGGCGUAAAGGGCGCGUAGGCGGCCUGCUAAGUCGAACGUGAAAUCCCCAGGCUCAACCUGGGAACUGCGUCCGAUACUGGCAGGCUUGAAUCCGGGAGAGGGAUGUGGAAUUCCUGGUGUAGCGGUGAAAUGCGCAGAUAUCAGGAGGAACACCAAUGGCGAAGGCAGCACUCUGGGACGUGACUGGCGCUGAGACGCGAAAGCGUGGGGAGCAAACAGG